CUUGAGAUUCUAGAACAGAAGAAUGCCCGCUAUGUGCCUUUCGAUGGCUGGGAAAAAAUCAAUUCUGAAGAAAAGAUAGCAGGCCAGCUGAAAAACAAGCCUAGAGAGAAGAUCACAACCUGGGAUGAGCUCCUGAAAGCUGCAAACGGGGGAUAAUUGAAGGGCAGAAUCGAUUCUGAAGAGAAGAUGGCAGGCCUGGUGAAGAACAAGCCCAGAGAGAAGAUCAUAACCUGGGAUGAGCUCCUGAAAGCUGCAAACGGGGGAUAAUUGAAGGGCUGUCUUGUAGACAGUUUUGUUACAUUGCAUGUCUCGUAGAGUCAGCAUUGAAGAGCGUUUGCCAUGUAAAAUAA
rnacentral:lncRNA from 1 species